GCGGAGCCAGCGUCCGGCCAGCUCGGGCAGCUGCCCAGGCUCCUCUACCACCGCCAAGUAGAAUAUUUAGGCCAAAUACUUAGAUCUUUCUCUUUUCCGCUCAAAAUUUUCAGUCUCAUCUUCUUCAAUAUCCUACGACAACGAUCUCGACGUCAUUCACAUCAUUCUCAGAUCCAUGUGAGAAUUUCAAGUUCCUCGUCGAUUCGCCGAAGAUUGCAAGCUCUUGUUGAAGCUGAUCCAGAUUUGCUUGCUUUUGAGACCACUCAAAACAAAAUUGAAGCUUAGAAGCAGAGCUUACCUCCAUGGGCAUAUAGUUCACCUUACUUGGACUUCCUACUUAAAGGCAAGAUAAAUGAGGAUAUUUGAAAAUAAUCAACUACUGAUUUCAUGUUCAUUUGCUCAUCAAGGGGAAAACAGAUCAUGGAGGGAAGAAACAGUCAUUUCUUAAGAGCUGAAUCCUAAAAAUAAGACACAAGUUCAAUUUACUUGAUGUUAAGAAGUCAUACAUAAGCUCCCUUGUUGGUUGUGAUGUCAAUCCUGAUAUUUUAUACUUCCUUCUAAAAUUUUCUCUAUGUGUGAUGUGUACUUUUACUCCUCUUAAGGCCUUUUUAAUCUGCUUGCAAGUGA